rnacentral:rRNA from 1 species
UGGGGAAUAUUGGACAAUGGGCGCAAGCCUGAUCCAGCCAUGCCGCGUGCAGGAUGAAGGCCUUCGGGUUGUAAACUGCUUUUUGUACGGAACGAAAAGACUCUGGUUAAUACCUGGGGUCCAUGACGGUACCGUAAGAAUAAGCACCGGCUAACUACGUGCCAGCAGCCGCGGUAAUACGUAGGGUGCGAGCGUUAAUCGGAAUUACUGGGCGUAAAGCGUGCGCAGGCGGUUAUAUAAGACAGAUGUGAAAUCCCCGGGCUCAACCUGGGAACUGCAUUUGUGACUGUAUAGCUAGAGUACGGCAGAGGGGGAUGGAAUUCCGCGUGUAGCAGUGAAAUGCGUAGAUAUGCGGAGGAACACCGAUGGCGAAGGCAAUCCCCUGGGCCUGUACUGACGCUCAUGCACGAAAGCGUGGGGAGCAAACAGGAUUAGAUACCCUCGUAGUCCCUGAGCGGGCUGGCAAGGCGCAU